UUGUCCUGGCCUGUGGUUUCUCUGUUUCCCUGUGCUCAGUUGUAACGGGGGAGUCUGGCAGGACACACAGCAGUCUUUCUCUCAGUUUAGGAGGGCCGUCCAGAGGAUAGGGCUGGCUCUUUUUUUUUUUGGAUCCUC